UACGAACCGAGCGAACGUUGUUCGGAAUCACUGGGCUUAAAGGGCGCGUAGGCGGGCUGCCGCGUCCGGGGUGAAAUCCCACGGCUCAACCGUGGAACGGCCCCGGGUACGGGCGGCCUCGAGGGGGGUAGGGGCGUGCGGAACUGUGGGUGGAGCGGUGAAAUGCGUUGAUAUCCACAGGAACUCCGGUGGCGAAGGCGGCACGCUGGACCGUCUCUGACGCUGAGGCGCGAAAGCUAGGGGAGCGAACGGG
rnacentral:rRNA from 1 species